rnacentral:lncRNA from 1 species
GAGUCAUGAGAUAGAGCUAGAGGAAGAUGAACCUCAGAAGAAAAGCAAAUCAGUAAUUCUAAAGUCUGGAUCAGAAAGAAGAAAUCUAGAAAGGAAGGAAGUCUUUCAAGCUGAAGAAGAAGACGACGAGGACUCUGAGAAGGAAGAUUCUGAUGAUGAAGAGGAGUUAUCUCUUCUAUCCAGAUGAAUCAAAUGGCUCUUGAGAAAAAGAAAUAACAACUUCAGAAGACCCAGACAGAAGGGAAAUCAUCUUGAGUCAACCUCCAGAGGUAGAUCCAACAGAGAAGUGACUUGCUAUGAAUGUAAAGAACCUGGACACUAUAGAAAUGAAUGUCCAAAGCUUAAGAAAGACAGCUCCAGAAAGGAAGGUUUCAAGAACAACUCCUUCAAAGCAAAUAAGAAGGGACUCAUGGCAACAUGGGAUGACUCUGAAUCUUAAGCUUCAGAAUCUGAUUCUGAAGAGGAGCAAGCAAAUGUUGCACUCAUGGCCACUACUUCUGAAAGUUCAUCUGAAAGAGAAUCUGACUCUGAAGAGGUAUUCUUUGACUUUUCUUGUUCUGAUCUAGAAGCCUGCUUAUCAGAAUCUCUGAGCUCUUAUCAGAAGCUUCGACAAAAAUUCA